rnacentral:tRNA from 1 species
AAAUUUAGGAUAAAAAAACCAGGAGCCUUCAAAGCACCUAAUAGAAGUUAAACACUUCUAAUUUC